rnacentral:miRNA from 1 species
AAGCUGCCAGGUGAAGAGCUAU